rnacentral:pre_miRNA from 1 species
GAAGCAUGUUCUUUGAGGGGAAUGUUGUUUGGCACGAGGCCACCAACUUUGGCAGAAGAGAAAUAUAUAAUUUGAUGGGUGUAUGUAUAUAUGUAUAUGUUUGUGCUCUCGGACCAGGCUUCAUUCCCCUCAAUUGCUGCUUC